rnacentral:rRNA from 1 species
UGUCACACGGAACUGCCGGUCAUAAACCGGAGGAAGGUGGGGAUGACGUCAAGUCAGCAUGGCCUUUAUAUCCUGGGCUACACACACGCUACAAUGGGAAGGGACAAUAGGUUGCGAAGCCGCGAGGCGGAGCCAAUCCAGCAAAACUUCCCUCAGUUCAGAUUGCAGGCUGCAACUCGCCUGCAUGAAGUUGGAGUUGCUAGUAAACGCAGGUCAGCCAUACUGCGUUGAAUACGUUCCCGGGGCUU